rnacentral:tRNA from 1 species
GGGGAUAUAGCUCAGCGGGAGAGCACUGCGUUCGCAACGCAGGGGUCGGGGGUUCAAGUCCCCUCUUCUCCACCA